CUCUUCCCCACCAUGGGCGCCCACUUGGCCACCACCUUCCUCCUCCUCCUCCUGGCCGCCCUCCCAGGGCUGCGGGCGGCCGUGGAGCUGAUGGAGUCCGGAGGGGGCCUCGUGACACCCGGGGGGUCCCUCACCCUCCGCUGCAAGGCCUCCGGCUUCACCUUCAGCAGCGUCACCAUGUUCUGGAUUCGACAGGCCCCUGGGAAGGGGCUGGAGAAUGUCGCGUUUAUUUACAGUGAUGGUGACAUAAGAUACGUGCCGUCGGUGAAGGGUCGCUUCACCAUCUCCAGGGACAACUCCCAGAGCACGGUCACGCUGCAGAUGAACAGCCUCAAGGAGGACGACACGGCCACCUACUACUGCGCCAAAGCUGAUGAUGGUAUUGGUGGUGCUGGUUGUUGUGGUGGACCUGACCCCCACAUCGUGACCAAACAGAACCCCAACCCCCGGGGUCAACUCCAGAGCCGCAGGGAUGUGGGGACACGGUGA